GAUGUCUUGGAUCUAAAAAAUGGCAGCUAUGUUUUCAAUGUAAAAUGUCUCUGGACUGGAUUAUCUUCGCUUCACUUGGCCAUCGCCUACCCUCGUGAAUUCAUCAGGACCGUCAUCCACCAGAUUCACAUUGGGGCAACAAGAUUAAUGGCCGCCACAUUUAAAAAGGGAAACUAUAAUGAGGACACCAUUUGUUUUCAAGCUCCAAACAUACCAGGUUGGGAAUGUAUUUGUAACUUCAGCAAGUUUGGUUACGAGAAUUAUUACUGUGGUAGACCGAGAAAUAAUCAUUUAUCAUGUGACGACUGGAUAGAAGGGGGAUAUUUAGAUUUAUCACCGCCCCACGACGUUACAGAAGAUGAAAGAAGUCUGAUUAAGUCUAUUUGCACGUAA